GUGAAUCAUCAAAUUUUUGAACGCAAAUUGCGCUUCCUAGCAUCCAGGGAAGGAUGACUGUUUGAGGGUAAGUAUUAAAAAAAGAAUAGGUUUGGUUGCAUAUUGUGAGGUUUUAGGUGAUUGGGCUAUCUUGACUUUUUUUGUUAAGGGGCUUAUAAUUGACUUUUUUUGUGAAUUUUUAGACGUACAUAAAUUUUUUUUUAUUCGUCUAUUCUUAAUGCCAAAAUCUAAU
rnacentral:misc_RNA from 1 species